rnacentral:rRNA from 1 species
AACCUUACCUACUCUUGACAUCCAGAGAACUUACCAGAGAUGCUUUGGUGCCUUCGGGAACUCUGAGACAGGUGCUGCAUGGCUGUCGUCAGCUCGUGUUGUGAAAUGUUGGGUUAAGUCCCGCAACGAGCGCAACCCUUAUCCUUUGUUGCCAGCGGUUCGGCCGGGAACUCAAAGGAGACUGCCAGUGAUAAACUGGAGGAAGGUGGGGAUGACGUCAAGUCAUCAUGGCCCUUACGAGUAGGGCUACACACGUGCUACAAUGGCGCAUCCAUAGAGAAGCGACCUCGCGAGAGCAAGCGGACCUCAUAAACGCCCUAUCCGGAUUGGAGUCUGCAACUCGACUCCAUGAAGUCGGAAUCGCUAGUAAUCGUAGAUCAGAAUG